GACGGAUUGGCGGCAGCGAGAAGGCAGUGCAGGUGUGCGAGUUACUUUAAGGCUUUGAAAAACCUGGCAAUGAAUUAUUCUGGCUGAGUUCUGUCGCUUAUCAAGCAAAAAUCUGAGUUGCGAUCAGAGUUCUUCAAAGAUCUCGACAAAUAUACUCCUCGCUUCCUGGAGAAGUUCAAAACCCAGAGGGGGAAAGUGUCGGACAGAAACUUGAAUAUCUGCAACAAGUCACACCUGGGAGUACAGAUGUGACUGGGAGGUGAACAGCAGUCCUCCGUGGUUCUCCCGUCAUCCUUGGAGAUGACAACGCAGACUUCUUCAAGAAUUUGAGGUUCAGGAGCAGCCAAUAUGAUGCAGGUGUGACGGCUGAAGAUGGUAGGUACCUGUUCAGCCUCCUGUGGUAGGAGCACAUUUCCCAGAAGCAGCAGUGACAAAGAAAUGUGGAUGUUUACCACGAAUAUGGUUGGUUGCCCACGUAUUAAACGUUGGUCUUUCUUUAUUGAAGGUGUGAGUUUAGGAUGGCAUGAAGCUUCGACUUGACCCUAUGGAAACACAGCAGAAGCCACGAACGGGUCCUGAUCGGGGACUCUGAUGACCUUCUGGACGUGUCCCACACCUCCAUUGGGACCCUGACGGUGCUGAAGACAUCGUGGCCCCCUCACUCGCUGGACCUGGAGUCUACAACUACUGCCAUCGUUUUGGGAGGAACAGUCGUGAUGGGUGACCGUGAUCAUCUUCCCCGUGCCGUGUGGCUACUCUUCGGACUUAUUUACCCCUGAAUUUGGAGUAUCCUCAACGAGUGAGGAACACCUUCUGAAUUUAUUCAUAGAGUGCUUCUCACUUGGACCAAAAACCCUAAAAUACAAUCACUCAAAUAUCUACUGAUGCCAUAAGGGACUGUGUUCAUGAUGUGCAGUCAGGCCGAGAACUUCACCCUUCUAUCUCCAAUUGAACUCUUUUCUAGAAAAUGUCUGUUUUUGUUGUUUUUCUGUCGUGAAAUUUAGCAAAUGCCGAAAACGCUGUGUUCAUCAUAUUUCUGCGUUACAAAACCUAAUCUGGCAACAUGUUCAGCGUUUUAAGCACGUUGUUUGAG